UUUAGGGCCACACCCAUGGCAUAUGGAGGUUCCCAGGCUGGGGUCCAAUUGGAGCUAUAGCUACCAGCCUACACCACAGCCACAGCAACACCAGAUCUGAGACGCAUCUGUGACCUACACCACAGCUCAUGGCAACGCUGGAUCCUUAACCCACUGAGCAAGGCCAGGGAUUGAACCUGCAUCCUCAUGGAUUUGUUACUGCUGAACCACAAUUAAGUAAGUUUUGUUUUAUCCUUUAUUAUAAUUUUUUCUGGUUUUCUAAAGUGAAUUUCUUAUUUCUGUAAUUAGAAGCAGGGUCUUCUAAUUAAUAUUAUUGUGGGAAAUGCAGAGAGCCCCUGCGGCUGCAGCAAGAGUGUGUCUGGCGGUGGUGAGUGCGUCUGUGGUCCAGGUUGGCAAGGCCCAGCCAUUGGCUGGGCCAGGAAACACCUUAAGAAAGUUACCCAGACAGAGAGCUUGAUCAGAGUAUUGGUGUUGAUUGUGAAAAGGAGGCUUUUAUUAAAUUUUGUACUGAGAUUAAAUUCACACACCAUAUUUUAGAUAUUAGUUACCUCUCCAAGACACCAUGCGUUGCUAAUCCCUCAUCGUAGUCAGAGCUCCACCACUUCAGGGGCAGAGGGCAGUAGAUGGCCUAUAGUUUCAUUUCGUUACUAAGUGUCUGUGCAUGGAGGCUCAUGGCCCUUUUGACCAGGCUCAGCUCCUAGAACUUUGGACAGAGGAGCCCUGAGAAAGAGCCAGAGCCAUUUCUGGGCCCCAGUGUUAGCAACGUGCACAUGCACGGAGGCUGUGGAUUCUGCGCAGGGAGCCCUCCCUGUAAGACCCUCUAACACCAAGGUUCCGAUGGGCGCGCCAUGUGUGCUCUUUGAUAGCUUCUCUCUGCUUGUUCCCCUUAUAAACAGCACCCCUUUGCCCUCCACUUGCAUGUGAGAUAUUCAGGUUCUGUCCUCCACCUUGGUGGUCCCCUAAGCCUAUGGUCAUGUUAGUGUGGAGCUUUCAUGCACAGGGCUUGCCCUCAGACUGAAGGGUAAGGUCCUUCUCCGAGUAAGGGUGGUCUGGUGAUAGCCAGUUCUAACUCACUCUGCUUUGUUGUUUUUUUGGCCACGCCUACAGCAUGUGGAAGUUCCCAGGCCUGGGAUCGAACCAACCAUAGCAGUGACAAUGCCGGAUCCUCAACCAGCUGAGCCACCAGGGAACUCCUCACUCACUCUGGUUUUAAAUCAGUUGUGGGUUAGGACAAGGUAGCUUCUUCUAAACCACUGUGAAAGUGGAGUUACAGUUGUGGCUCAGCAGUUAACGAACCUGACUGGCAUCUAUGCGGAUGCAGGUUCGAUCCCUGGCCUCACUCAGUGGGUUAAGGAUCUGGUGUUGCUGUGGGCUGUGGUAUAGGUUGUAGACACGGCUACAAUCCUGUGUUGCUGUGGCCCUGGCACAGGCUGGCAGCUACAGCUCCAAUUGGAACC
rnacentral:lncRNA from 1 species